CGUAGGGCGCAAGCGUUGUCCGGAAUUAUUGGGCGUAAAGAGCUCGUAGGCGGUCCGUUACGUCGGGAGUGAAAACCCGGGGCUUAACCCUGGGCCUGCUUUCGAUACGGGCGGACUAGAGUAUGGCAGGGGAGACUGGAAUUCCUGGUGUAGCGGUGAAAUGCGCAGAUAUCAGGAGGAACACCGGUGGCGAAGGCGGGUCUCUGGGCCAUUACUGACGCUGAGGAGCGAAAGCGUGGGGAGCAAACAGGAUUAGAUACCCUGGUAGUCCACGCCGUAAACGUUGGGCGCUAGGUGUGGGGGUCUUUCCACGACCUCUGUGCCGCAGCUAACGCAUUAAGCGCCCCGCCUGGGGAGUACGGCCGCAAGGCUA
rnacentral:rRNA from 1 species